UACGGAGGGUGCAAGCGUUAUCCGGAUUCAUUGGGCGUAAAGGGUGCGUAGGUGGCGGGGUAAGUCAGGUGUGAAAUUUCGGAGCUUAACUCCGAAACUGCAUUUGAUACUGCCUUGCUUGAGGACUGGAGAGGAGACUGGAAUUCACGGUGUAGCAGUGAAAUGCGUAGAGAUCGUGAGGAAGACCAGUGGCGAAGGCGGGUCUCUGGACAGUUCCUGACGCUGAGGCACGAAGGUCAGGGGAGCAAACGGG
rnacentral:rRNA from 1 species